GCCGCAGUCUCGCGGCGGCGAGCGAACGCAGCGGCCUCCUGGGAGGCGACGCUGGGAGACCGGGCCUCGGAGCAGCGUUUUCGGCGGCGGCGGCGAAGUGGCAGCACGAAAAGCCGGUCUUAAUUCCAUUUUGUUCCUUUUUAGUGCUUAGCACUGUGCCUGGCAUGUUAAUGAUGAUCUCCAGGUCCAUCCAUGUUACUACUGGUCAAAAGGAUGGAUUUUACAGAGGCUUACUCUGACAUGUGCUCCACGGUUGGACUUGCUGCCAGGGAAGGCAAUGUCAAAGUCUUAAGAAAACUACUCAAAAAGGGACGUAGCGUUGAUGUUGCUGAUAACAGGGGAUGGAUGCCAAUUCAUGAAGCAGCUUAUCACAACUCUGUGGAAUGUUUGCAGAUGUUAAUUCAUGCAGAUUCAUCUGAAAACUACAUUAAGACAAAGACUUUUGAAGGUUUCUGUGCAUUACAUCUUGCUGCAAGUCAAGGACAUUGGAAGAUUGUGCAGAUUCUUUUAGAAGCUGGGGCAGAUCCUAAUGCAACUACUUUAGAGGAAACCACACCACUGUUUUUAGCUGUUGAAAAUGGACAGAUAGAUGUGUUAAGGCUGUUGCUUCAAUAUGGAGCAAAUGUUAAUGGAUCCCAUUCUAUGUGUGGAUGGAACGCCUUGCACCAGGCUACUUUUCAGGAGAAUGCUGAGAUCAUAAAAUUGCUUCUUAAAAAAGGAGCAAACAAGGAAUGCCAGGAUGACUUUGGAAUCACACCUUUGUUUGUGGCUGCUCAGUAUGGCAAGCUAGAAAGCUUGAGCAUACUUAUUUCAUCGGGUGCAAAUGUCAAUUGUCAAGCCUUGGACAAAGCUACUCCCUUAUUCAUUGCUGCUCAAGAGGGCCACACAGAAUGUGUGGAGCUUUUGCUGUCCAGUGGGGCAGAUCCUGAUCUUUACUGUAAUGAGGACAAUUGGCAGUUACCUAUUCAUGCAGCUGCACAGAUGGGCCAUACAAAAAUCUUGGACUUGCUAAUACCACUUACUAACCGAGCCUGUGACACUGGGCCAAACAAAGUGAGCCCUGUGUACUCAGCAGUGUUUGGAGGGCAUGAAGAGUGCCUGGAAACAUUACUCCGGUGUGGCUACAGCCCUGAUGCCCAGAUGUGCCUCAUCUUUGGAUUCAGUACUCCCAUGUGUAUGGCUUUCCAAAAGGACUGUGAAUUCUUUGGAAUUGUGAAUAUUCUUUUGAAAUAUGGAGCUCAGUUAAAUGAACUUCAUUUGGCAUACUGCCUGAAGUAUGAGAAGUUUUCAGUGUUUCGCUACUUUUUGAAGAAAUGUUGUCCAUUGACACCUUGGAGCCACAUAUCUGAAUUUAUUAAUCAUGCAAUUAAAGCACAGACAAAAUAUAAGGAAUGGUUGCCAUCUCUCCUGCUUGCUGGAUUUGACCCACUAAGUCUACUAUGCAGUUCUUGGAUUGACUCAGUCAGCGAUGACAUCCUUAUCUUCACUUUGGAGUUUACUAAUUGGAGGAACCUUCCUCCAGCUGUUGAAAAGAUGCUCUCUGCUCGUGCCUCAAACUCCUCUCGGGCUCUGCAGAAACAUAUAGCCUCUAUUCCAUCCCUUACCCACCUUUGUCGAUUGGAAAUUCGGUCCAGUCUAAAACCAGAACAACUGCAGUCUGACAGUUUUAUCUGUCAGUUGCCACUUCCCAGAAGCCUACAUGAUUAUCUGCUCUAUGCAGAGGUUCUGAGGAUGAAUGAAGUUCCAGAACUGGCAGUUAUUCAAGAUGGAAAAAUCAGCGAAGCUACUUAACGCAGCUCAUGUCUUACCCUGAAAACCAAGAUAAGGAGCCAUGGAGUACAAAUUCUUCAUGAUUUUAUGGUCACAAAAGAUGGUUUUUGUUUGUCUGAUUGGUUAGGUGUUAGAGGGCAGUAAUUUAAUGCAAAUGUUUACAACUGGGCUUCCAGGUAAAAAAGUAUUGUAAACCUCACUCAUGUUACUUUAUUGUAGUUUCAUCACCAGUACCCUUUAUGUUGUAAUACUCAUUUACGUAACCAUUUUCUGCUUUAUUCUGUUACAGAACUGUGAUGCUACUUCUAGUGCUAAACAUGGCAUAUUUCCACCUAUAGUUCUGUGUUUACCUAGGGCUAGAGUUUAGAAUGGAAUGCAUAAAUCUUCACUGGAAGUAUACACACAGUGGGGUUGAAUCUAUUAUUAUUUUAUUUGAGGUUGAAUAUCUUUUAUAUUUAUAAAAGAACUAUCUUAUAUUCCAUUCUCUUAAUUCAGUCUCUUUUAUCAAGAAUUGAUAUUCAUUGGCUUUUCACGAUAAACUCAGGGGAGAAUUCUUUUUUAAAAGACUAUAGAAAAUGAAUCAUUUUGCUGUUUUUUUUUUUUUUUUCCAGUUCCUCGAUAACUCUCUGGCUAAAAAAGACUCCCAUUUCUGCAAAGGCAAGAAAAGAUCUAAAUUCAAAGAUAUGUUCAGUUGAAAGAAACUUAGGUUGGUAUUGAGAUAAAUAAGCAUUUUACCACACUUACAGUGCUAAUUAGGAGACAGAGAGACAUUUCUGUGGUACCAUCUUUAAAUAAAGAAAGGCAGCCUUCUGUAUCCAUGGUUCUGUAUCCCUGGUUCUGCAUGAGGAUUCAACCAACUGAGGAUCGUAUCAUACUGUAGAGAAGAUCCUGUGGAGCCAUCUUCUAUGCCAAGAUUUAAGUGCUGUGGAGAUUUCAGUAAAGGAGUGUAGGGCUGGGGGUAGGGGACCAUGUUACUUUAUGCAGAGGCUGAUUUCUAACAGUAUCAUCAGCGUUAGAGCGUUAGAAGGAAAAAAUAGAGAAAAGCUCCAAGUAGACUGAGUGGCAGAAAAAGAAUGAGACAACAUCUGGGCCAUCAAAAGCCCCUACUGCUCACACCUCCUGGUUCGCAAAUGAAUUUAUAGUCCAGAAUCAUAGGUGCUUGGAGACUUCAGAUUACUGUUAAAUGGACUGAAGAGGAUCAUAAGAGAAAGGAAGACCAGAUAGGAGGCUUUGAUGGGAGUGAAGGUGAAAGAUUAUGGUGGUUUGAACAAGGUGGUAACACUUGAGGUGUUUUUACAGAAACCAGGUUAGGAAGAGCCCUGAGUAGUAUAUGAUGCUGCAGCUAACAUCCAUGAUGACCUUCUGGGGUCAGGAAAAGGAUUUUCAUGAACAUCACAAAGGAAAAGGAACUGAGAGUUGAAUGCUAGAUUUUUGUAAUUUCCCAGGUUUGUAGAUAGAAGUAAAUUAUGUUCCUGACCGGCUGAACUGCAAAACCAUUUCUAAAGACGUGUCAUUUGCCCAAACCCACUAGUCAACUCAUCCAAAUUCUUAGAGAAAUGGCUCCGUCUGCCAGAGGACACGAUACCUUCAGGUUCUACCAGUUGAGAGCAGGAGGGGUAGGAGGCCGCCUCCUAGAACCACUCAAUAUCUUCAGUGCUUCCCACCUUUCCAGGGUCUUUGGGACGGACACUGAGAAUCAGUUGCCAAAUAUGAAUCACUGCCAUCGGAAGACAUGUUUGAAGGUGGCUCCUCUGCCUGCUGUGGGAUUGUAGGCAAACCAGCUAAACGCUAUGAAUCUUACUCCUCUUGGGUCAGACGUUGGAAUGAGUGCAGGCUCUUCAAGAUCACUGCCACACUCCUGGACAGAGCUUUUGUUAGAAAAUUUGUGUUAAUUAAUCAACAAGUUCCUGGAGCUCUAUAAAACCUUGUGGAUUUGAAUACAAAGAGAAAAUGUCUAUUAUCUCCAAAUUAGCCCUCCUGCUGUGCUUUCAAAUGAAUCUGAAAUCCCCAUUGACAUGCUGCAAUGGUGAAAAAACUUCUCAAAGGUUAUUUGAAAUCUGAGCUAAUUGCAAAAGGAUUGAUUUCCAGCAAAUGUGGCAAAAUGACCAAAAGGGAUUCAAGACAAUGUCUUACACAAUGUGAUGCUCAAUAAAAGGUCACUGACUCAAGAUGAGAUUAAGGAUUCCUUAGCAUGUCUUGAACAUUCAUGUGCUUUAUUGCUUCCUCCACUUCCUCUGUGCCCCAGAUCUUUCCUCAUUCCAUGCCCAAACAAGUUACCAAAUGUUGGAAGAGGAAAGCUAGAGUCCUGCUGUGUUGAUUUUGCUUUAUUUGUUCUGGAUUUAGAGUUAAAUCCUUCCAGUAGAUGAACUGUAUCAAGGGCUUUUCAUUUCAUAUUGCGAAGUGUGUUGUUAUGCACAGUUCAUUCUAUUAAAAAAUGAAACACGUAGACCUAAAUUAAAAUGCAUAAUGUAGAUCCCUCAGAGGGGGCUUCUGAAACACCAGGCAUGAAAUGUUGCAUAGAUUUCUUGUUAACCAGAAAAUUAUUUCAGCAAGUGACCCUUCCUGAGGCUUCGGGAAGGAGCCGGGGUGUCAUGAGCCUCUGAAGCUACAAGGUGGAUGCUUGAUAUUACUCACAUUUUUCUCAGUUGCCAGCAACUCUACGUUGCCAUCUGUCUCAAGCUUCGCCAGAAUCUACCUGUGGUUUAAAGGCCAGAAAGGUCUGGACAACAAGAGGGCUUAGGGAAAUGAU